rnacentral:rRNA from 1 species
GAUGAACGCUAGCUACAGGCUUAACACAUGCAAGUCGAGGGGAAACGAUAGAGAAAGCUUGCUUUUUCUAGGCGUCGACCGGCGCACGGGUGAGUAACGCGUAUCCAACCUGCCCACCACUUGGGGAUAACCUUGCGAAAGUAAGACUAAUACCCAAUGAUAUCUCAAGAAGACAUCUGAAUGAGAUUAAAGAUUUAUCGGUGACGGAUGGGGAUGCGUCUGAUUAGCUUGUUGGCGGGGUAACGGCCAACCAAGGCGACGAUCAGUAGGGGUUCUGAGAGGAAGGUCCCCCACAUUGGAACUGAGACACGGUCCAAACUCCUACGGGAGGCAGCAGUGAGGAAUAUUGGUCAAUGGGCGAGAGCCUGAACCAGCCAAGUAGCGUGCAGGAUGACGGCCCUAUGGGUUGUAAACUGCUUUUAUAAGGGAAUAAAGUGAGCCUCGUGAGGCUUUUUGCAUGUACCUUAUGAAUAAGGACCGGCUAAUUCCGUGCCAGCCGCCGCCGUAA